UAGUCCUUGCACGUUUUAGUCACGAAUAUACCUAAUUAUUUGUUCAUUGUUAGACCUAAGUUUUGUUUUAGAGAUUGAUAUACAUUUGAGAGAAGAAUCCAAUCCCUACAGAGAGGAUUUUGAACUCCUUUUACUCUAUUUAUAAUUCAUCAAUGCAAACUAUUCAAAUUAUGAUUUGUGUUUCUGUUGUCAUGUCUGAGUUAUCACUUUGUUGGGUUUAGUGAGUCUCUAUAGGGAUUUAGAUGGAUUAGUAGAUCGAAAACCCCUUAGGAUUAAUCUUAGAGUUCUUCAUCUUGAUUAUUCUUAUUGCUAGUUUUAGAUUGAUCACCCAAACCCAAACCUAGACUUUCUUUCAAGCCCUAUAUCACUUGUGAGUGUUUGUGAGGUCUUAUUCCGAUUAAGCUUGGUAGAAAGUGUUAGGUUCGUAACGACAGAGAUAGUGUCUCAUGUAGUUCUAGUUCGCAUUUUUCGGACUAGAUAGGACUAGCUGGGUGCUUAUACUUUGGGUUGGGAUGUGUUUUAAAGAA
rnacentral:sRNA from 1 species